UAGUCCACGCCGUAAACGAUGAUUACUCGCUGUAGACGAUACACAGUCUGUGGCUAAGCGAAAGUUUUAAGUAAUCCACCUGGGGAGUACGAUCGCAAGAUUGAAACUCAAAGGAAUUGACGGGGGCCCGCACAAGCGGAGGAACAUGUGGUUUAAUUCGAUGAUACGCGAGGAACCUUACCUGGACUUAAAUGUACGUUGCAUAGAUUGGAGACAGUCUUUUCUUCGGACUACGUACAAGGUGCUGCAUGGUUGUCGUCAGCUCGUGCCGUGAGGUGUCGGGUUAAGUCCCAUAACGAGCGCAACCCCUAUUUUUAGUUACCAGCACGUAAUGGUGGGGACUCUAGAAAGACUGCCUGGGUAACCAGAGAGGAAGGUGGGGAUGACGUCAAAUCAGCACGGCCCUUACGUCCAGGGCUACACACGUGUUACAAUGGUCGGUACAAAGGGCAGCUACAUGGCAACAUGAUGCUAAUCUCGAAAGCCGGCCUCAGUUCGGAUCGGAGUCUGCAACUCGA
rnacentral:rRNA from 1 species